UACAGAGGGUGCAAGCGUUGCUCGGAAUCAUUGGGCGUAAAGGGCAAGUAGGUGGUCUCAUUUGUCUAGGGUGAAAUCCUUGAGCUUAACUCAAGAAGUGCCCUAGAAACGGUGGGACUAGAGUUCUGGAGAGGGUCGUGGAAUUCCCGGUGUAGCGGUGAAAUGCGUAGAUAUCGGGAAGAACACCCGUGGCGAAGGCGGCUCUCUGGGACGGUACUGACGCUGAGACGCGAAAGCGUGGGGAGCGAACAGG
rnacentral:rRNA from 1 species